ACGCGCCUGACGGUGAGGGGACGAAAGCCAGGGGAGCGAACCGGAUUAGAUACCCGGGUAGUCCUGGCCGUAAACGAUGCAUACUAGGUGAUGGCACGGCUAUGAGCCGUGUCAGUGCCGUAGGGAAACCGUUAAGUGUGCCGCCUGGGAAGUACGGUCGCAAGGCUUAAACUUAAAGGAAUUGGCGGGGGAGCACCACAAGGGGUGAAGCCUGCGGUUCAAUUGGACUCAACGCCGGGAAACUUACCGGGGGAGACAGCAGAAUGAUGGUCAGGUUGACGACCUUACCUAACAAGCUGAGAGGAGGUGCAUGGCCGUCGCCAGUUCGUGCUGUGAGGUAUCCUGUUAAGUCAGGCAACGAACGAGAUCCGCACCUUUAGUUGCCAGCAAGAAGUUACGACUUCGUUGGGCACACUAAAGGGACUGCCGUCGAUAAGUCGGAGGAAGGAGCGGGCAAAGGCAGGUCAGUAUGCCCCGAAACCCCCGGGCUACACGCGGGCUGCAAUGGUAUGAACAAUGGGCUGUGACUCCGAAAGGAGAAACCAAUCCCGAAAUCAUAUCUCAGUUGGGAUUGUCGGCUGUAACUCGCCGACAUGAACGUGGAAUCCCUAGUAAUCGUGUGUCACCAUCGCACGGUGAAUACGUCUCUGCUCC
rnacentral:rRNA from 1 species